UGGGGAAUAUUGGACAAUGGGCGAAAGCCUGAUCCAGCCAUGCCGCGUGUGUGAAGAAGGUCUUCGGAUUGUAAAGCACUUUAAGUUGGGAGGAAGGGCAUUAACCUAAUACGUUAGUGUUUUGACGUUACCGACAGAAUAAGGACCGGCUAACUCUGUGCCAGCAGCCGCGGUAAUACAGAGGGUGCAAGCGUUAAUCGGAAUUACUGGGCGUAAAGCGCGCGUAGGUGUUUUGUUAAGUUGGAUGUGAAAUCCCCGGGCUCAACCUGGGAACUGCAUUCAAAACUGACUGACUAGAGUAUGGUAGAGGGUGGUGGAAUUUCCUGUGUAGCGGUGAAAUGCGUAGAUAUAGGAAGGAACACCAGUGGCGAAGGCGACCACCUGGACUAAUACUGACACUGAGGUGCGAAAGCGUGGGGAGCAAACA
rnacentral:rRNA from 1 species